CCUACGGGUGGCUGCAGUGGGGAAUAUUGGACAAUGGGGGCAACCCUGAUGCAGCGAAGCCGCGUGAGUGAAGACGUAUUUCGGUAUGUAAAGCUCUAUCAGCAGGGAAGAAAAUGACGCUACGUGUUUCAGUAGCCCCGGCUAAAGACGUGCCAGCAGCCGCGGUAACACGGAGGGGGCCACCGUUAUCCGGAUUUACUGGGGGUAAAGGGAGCGUAGACGGCAGCACAAGUCUGGAGUGAAAUGCCGGGGCUUAACCCCGGAACUGCCGUGGAAACUGGGCAGCUAGAGUGCAGGAGAGGUAAGUGGAAUUCGUGGUGUAGCGGUGAAAUGCGUAGAUAUUAGGAAGAACACCGAUUGCGAAGGCAGCUUACUGGACUGUAACUGACGUUGAGGCACGAAAGCGUGGGGAGCGAACAGGAUUAGAUACCCCUGUAGUC
rnacentral:rRNA from 1 species